CGAUGGGCGUCGGGCGGCGUAAGGGUGAGUAAUGCCUAGGAAAGUGCCUUGAUGUGGGGGAAAACCAUUGCAAACNAUGGCUAAUGUCUCAUGAUGCCUAGGGGCUUCAGAUGGCGACUUUCNAUUGNCUCNCGGGGGGAUAUGCCUAGGGGGGAGUAGCGGCUUGGUGAGGUAAUGGCUCACCACGGGUACGAUCCCUAGCUGGUCUGANAGGAUGAUCAGACACACUGGAAAUGACACACGGUCCAAACUCCGACGGAAGGCACCAAUGGGGAAAAUUGCACAAUGGGCCAAAGCCUGAGGCAGCCAUGCCNCGUGUAUGAAUAAAGCCUUCUGGUUGUAGAGUACUUUCUGUUGUGANGAANGGGGUAUCUUUAAUAUCUCUGUCUCUUGACGUUAGCAACAAAUCAAUCACCGGCUACCUCCUUGCCAGCAGCGNGGGUAAUACAGAGGGUGCUAGCGUUAAUCGGAAUUACUGGGCGUAUAUCGCAUGCGAGUGGUUCAUUCCNU
rnacentral:rRNA from 2 species